CUUGUCUUUUUGCCUUUUCUAGGGCCGCACCCGCAGCAUGUGGAGGUUCCCAGGCUAGGGGUCUAAGCAGAGCUGUUGCCGCUGGCCUACGGCAGAGCCACAACAACGCGGGAUCCGAGCCGCGUCUGCAGCCUACGCCACAGCUCACAUAGCAAGGCCAGGGAUUGAACCUGCAACCUCAUGGUUACUUGUCGGAUUCGUUAACCACUGUGCCACGAUGGGAACUCCAGCAUUACUGGUUCUUAUUCUACGGCCUCUGGCUGUGAUCAACAGAUGCAGAAAUCAGGAGAUCAACUGAUGGGCAUAGGGACUGUCUGACCCAUACUGACACAUACUACCCUGAGUGGGAUCUUCUGGGCAGCCGGAGUUUUCUAGGAUCCGCUUAUUUCUCAGUAGUAAAUCCUAAUAGGUAAAAAGUAAAAGUAUGGAAGACUACUUUAUAUACUCUUUCCCUGGGAUACCUAGAUUGGUAAUAAUAACUUAGUAAAAUUUUGGCCAGGUUGGGACCCUCCUUCUUUAUUGACUACAUGAUUCUCUAGCCUUACAUAGGGAAGUUUAAUCUUCUGGUUAAAAAUGAUGACAAGCAGAUAUUAUUACAGAAACAUUUCAAAGUUGAUGCUAUUUUUAUAACAUUUUCUCAAAUAAAAUUCCAUAUACUUUACAGCUUCCAAACAUACAUUUUUACCUAAAUAUAUGAAUACUUAGUAUCUACAUGCUUUACUAAGUCAUAAUUAGAUAUGAAGAUGGGGAAAGGUGAUUUAAUUCCAGUUUCAGAUGCAGAAUUCUGUCUAAAUACGAAUUUUAGAAAUGUUCAUAAUUUAAGUGGUAGUAAAUAUAUUUGGCAUUACUAGGUUGAGAUUAAAAAUCUUAAAUUUCUCAAAAUAUCCUUGUCCCUUGAGGCACUGCUUUCUCAGUGAAAGUCUCCAACUUCAUAAAUGUGGAAAUUUGGAUUCUCUGAAGGAGAAAAAUACUUCUUGUCAGAAAACUGGUCAUGGCUAGUUCACAGAGUGAAGGAGUCCAAGAUCUUAUUAAUUUUCCUGUGACCGUGCUAUCUGAUUUGCUACAAGUCAUUUAAAAUCUCUAUAUGUCUCAGUUUUGUCUCCCUAUCUAUGAUACCUAAAUAAUAUUAUCAAGAUAACGUGGAGACUAUAUUUCCAUCUUCUCAUAGGGCAUAUGCUAAAGUCCUAAAUCUCAAAGUAUUCAAAUGAUACUACCUGUAUCAAAUGGGUAGAAUGGCACCAACAUCCUAUAUAAUCUUAAAUAACACAUUUAGCACCACAGCUUUUCACUUUUUCAGCUAUAAAACGGGUAUAGACAUGUUUAAAUUUUUGAUUAAAAGUAUAUAUUAGAAUAGAGAGACUAUUGCAUAAGCUAUUAACUUUUCAACAAAAAUUUCAUACACUCCUGGAAGUUCCCCUUGUGGCUCAGUGAUAAUGAGCCCAACUAGUAUCCAUGAGGAUGCGGGUUGGAUCCCUGGCCUCACUCAGUGGGUUAAGGAUCUGGCGUUGCCACCGUGAGCUGUGGUGUAGGUUACAGACAUGGCUUGGAUCCCAAGUUGUGGCUGUGGUGUACGCUGGCAGCUACAGCUCUGAAUCGACCCCUACCCUGGGAACUUCCACUCAUUGAGGGUUUGGCCCUAAAAAGCAAAAAAAAAAAAAAAAAUUCAGAAAUUGAUUUUAAAAUAUCAAGGCAUAAGAUGAAGUUAAUGUUAUUAAGGAUAUUCAGAUAUUCAUGAAGAAAAACUGUUUCUAAAAUGGGAAGCAAUACUACCUUUUAUUUGUGUGACUGGCUACAUUUUAUGGUGGACCCAAGACCCUAGUAAUGACAAAGCUGAAACAGGGAAAGUGAUUUUCAGCAGACUUUUGAACGGUAUAUAAAAUAAGAUGUAUUCACUAAUGGGUUGGCAGAAAUGUUAUACAUGAGCUUUUAGAAUCAAAACUGCUUAAGCAGCUUUUCAUAUUUGGCAAAGCUAUGUUCUUGAAGUGUCCCCUCACAGCCUCCUCCACGUUAUUUUUUUGUCUUAUAGUGCCAGGUGGGAGGAACAAUAAAAGGGAGGGGCAAAACAAACAGGGACAGCCACUAUGGCAGGAGCCACUCCAAAGAUCAAAGAGCCAAUUUGGCUGUGGCUGCCAAAAUUGGAACCACAGUGGGUGGCUCAUCAGCAUGGUGCCCUGAGAACCACAUAGGCCACUCCUGGUAGGUAAGCACCUGGGGAUACAGGCCCCACAUCCUGCUCAGGAGAACUACCUGCUAAGAACUGAAUGUGUACCUUUCCUUACCCAAUCCCAGAAUUUGAUUUUAACACAAUUCUGCAUUACUAUUAUGUUUUUUGAAUGAUCUCCAUGUGAUAGACACUAUACAAAAGCACAAUCCUAUUCUACUCAGAUUUCAUACCUUAUAAGAUUCUAAGGAGAACUCUGAUUUCCUUAUGCUAAUGGGUAAAAUCUUGGGUAACUAGUAGAAAAGAUAAUUCAAUUUAUAAUAUUUUAAUCAGAUAUAUCCCUUUAUUUUAUAUAUCUGUCAUCAGAAAAUAAUACACUAAUACCUCUAUUACCCAGCCUUCUAUAUUCAUUUAUAAGUCUAUCUUGAUUUCACAUGGUUAAGAACCCAAAAAAGAGAAAACAGAGCCCUUAAGAAACUUAAAAAAAUAAGAUUCUGUAAAGCACACAUAGUUGCCCAAACUUAUCUUUAUUCAUCAAGGAGAUUUUAACUUGGAGCCAAUAUAUUAUUCCUUAAUACACAGAAGCAUCAGUUAUAUGGGCCCUCUAUUCAUGUUAGAUGGAAAGAUGGGAUACUUCCAGAAGAAAGCACAAUGGUAACUAGAAAACAACAACUCUGUGUCUCA
rnacentral:lncRNA from 1 species